UCGCUGGACUAAGAUACUCUGUAGUUAGUAGCUGCCUUUUCUAAGAAAAUGCUUGCUGUUGAAUUUUAGAUUUGAAACUAAAAUCAUCAUCCGGGCUGUUUUAUGAAGAAGGAAUCAGAUGCACAGAGAAUUUAUCUAGGAAGCUUAAUACUUGAGGCCUUUUAAAUUAGCAGUUUAUAUUUGAGGAAGAUUCGUAUUUGGAGAUAAAUGUUAAUCUUCAUUUUGAAAAUAUUCACCAGCUAUCGUGUUGCACCUUUCUCUUUACUUUUGAAAUGUAAUAACAUAUUCAACCAAGGGGACCAGGGCUGUGCUAACGGUUUCAUCCAACCAGAGCCACAUUCCGUCUUAGCAGUUCACUGGCUCCCUUCAACAAUGACUCCUCUCAUUCACCGGUGCCAGGCUGAGGUCAUGUUCUCGGUGUAUCACAGCUCUAAGAAAGGUGAUUGGUCUGUUCCUUCUGCAUCACUCUUGUCCCUGGCUGUAGAUUUGACACAAAUUCCAUGUACACUAUAUGUAAACCAUAUGGACACCAUCUGAGAAGAACCUUUCUCCUGUGUUCGCUCUUCAGGAUAAGCUGAAAGCUUCUGAGCCUGCUUGCCUCUGGCUCCUUUAGUCUCUGUUAUGGCUCCUUUGUUUUAAAUCCUGGAAUUUCCAAGGUCAUGACAAGGUGAGUGUGGGGAAAGAGGGACGAUUGAUACUUGUUACAUGGCUCUGGAUUCACAGGUAUUGACUCUGGCAUAACUUAAUUGUUGAGUGAGAGAUGCUUUAUAUUAACUCUUUAAAUCUAUAUUUUGCCCGAACUUAGGACCUCUGCCCAUAGGUUGGCAAUCGUUAUCUGGCCAUGAUUUUAGGAAUUGUUCUGAUUUCUAAUGUUAUGUCAUGUUGUCAUUCAAGGGCCCAGAGUUUAGUUAAGAGUAUGUGUAGUUGAGUCCCUAGGCUCAUAGGGUAUUAGGACCUAACAUCGUUUACGUUGUGGUCAUUUACAUUUUGUUGCUCAGCAUCCAUUCUUUCUAUUGUUAACAACAUGCUGGUUUCUCUGUAGGACAGCAGUACCACCUCCCUCCAGCUCUCUAUCCAGAUGCUGAUGGUAAGUCUGAUGACAGUUGAGCACAUGACGUGGGUCUGGUCAAUCAGAGCAUGGCCUCCCCUUUGUGUCAGUGAUUGAUUCAAGAAUGAACAUGCAAUGCAGCUGUGCCAUCAGGCUCAACUGUAAAUCAUCCUAGGACUUUUGCUAGAGAUACAGGGAAAGAAUCCUUCUGUCUUCCCCCCGGACUUGAAACUAUGAGGCUGUGAGUCUGGAGUUUCUGGCAGCCAAUGUGCUGCCUUGAGGAGAGAGGCAGGCUGAGAAAGAAAGGAACCUGGAAAGUGGAGGGAUGGAGAGAUGGAGAGAAAGUGAGUCCUGAUGCUAUCAUCUGAGGCAGUACUUCCAGCCUCACCCGCAGUCGCCUUCCCCUGGACUUCUCCAGUUUCAGGAGCCAAUACAUUUAAUUUUUUUGCUUAAGCCAGUUUGAGUCAAGUUUCUGACUCAAACUGAUUGAGUUUGUAUCUGACUCAAACUGAAAGUUCUGAUUGAUACAAGAUGAUUUCUAGGUUGGUUUUAUAUUCGCUGUGGAAAGUGCUUGCUCUUUUAGAGAAGGGAGAGGGAACCUAAGAAAACUUAGUGCCGGGAAACUUUGCCUAGAAACAGACUAGUAGGCACCUGACCUGGUCAGUGGAGACAGACCAGUUAGAACUCAGAAUUAAAGUCUGUCCUAAAGUAUCAUGAAAAUAUAUUGAUUCAAAUUAAGUUUUAUUAUUUUUAAGCAUUUGCAAUCACUGAAAGUAUUUUGGAAGACUGCAAAGUGGCCUAAUGUUAAGGAAACAAGCUUCGUAGUUGGAGUUUGGGAAUGUGAUUUCAUUUCUUUGAAACUUCUUUUCUUUCACUUCAUUUCUCAGUUUCCUCAUCUGUAUAAUGGGCAUAUCCAGUGCCUAUCUCAAAUAAUCACUAAGGCACAUGAAACAUUCAUAGCAGAAUGUCUAGUAUAUCCUCAAUAAGUAGAAGCUAUCACCCUUAAUAAUGCUCUGACCUUUUCCUUUUAGGAUUGUGUAAUGCAUCAUAUGAUAUCUUUGAGCCAGAACUGAGUCAAAAUAAUGUGAACUAGAAGGACAAACUCUCUAGAAAGAGGAUAUUAGGGUUUUUAAACAUUUCUUAGGCUGACUAAAAUUUGUUUGCUAGCUCUUCCAAGUUGGUAAGUAAAAGGAAAUCUAAGUACUGGUUGUUUACUUAUAUUUAGUGAAGGACCAAGUUAUCUAACUGAGUUCCUCUUGUUUAAGGUUGCUCUAAGUUGUCAAUGACAGUCCUCCUGAUGGAAGUAAGAGUUCAGGCCAAGCUUCACCUCCUGGGCACUUAAAAACAAAGUGAGAAAAAAAAAGAUAACACAAAUCAAAACCCUAAUCAAAACCAAUCUUUAUUUAGUACCAUGUGCCUGGCACAAUGCUAAACUCUCUCUGUGGACCAUAUUGUCUCCAUCACAACUCUAGAGGGUAGGAACUCUUAUCACCAUUUUACAGGUGAGAAAACUCAGGCUCAGAAAGAAAGUCUGUUAAAGGGCACACAGGUGGUAUGUGGUGGAGCUGGGAUGGUAGCUGCCCUUUUAACCACACACACACUACUCCUUGCCUGUGCACUCUCCAGUCUAGCAGGAUGGGAGUCCGCACCCUCCAGUUCCUGAGCCCACAUUUGUUCACGGUAGAUCUGAGAGCAUCAGGAGACCUAGUUCCUAGGAGUCAGUACCCCCAGGACCAUCCAAAAGGCUGAUAGUGGGAUGUUCCAGUGGCAAAUUACACACUGUGGGGGCAGAACUGGAUCACUUUGAGGAAAAAGAAUGUCUCUCCUGGAAGAAUUGUUAUAUUCUCAUUAUAUCUGCUUGCUGCUCUGAAAAUCUGGAGAUGUCUCACUGUGGAAGGAUAAUCACUCUUCCCUAGUGAACCACUCAAUAAUUGAUUUGAUUACAUGUGGUUAAUACAGGAACCAGAUGUGGGUAAAAAGUAUCUACUCUUUUAAUUUAUUUUGUUUAAAUACAAUGCUGAAAGGGGGGAAUAGAGAUGUUUAUUUGAAACAAAUGAUUUAUUUUACAUGAAUUUUGUACAGAUGACCUGGCUUGUACUAAGAUGAAUUUAAAACAGUGGUAAUGAACACCUUCCAUCACCCUGACCAUCCUUGAAGUUUCCCCUAUCACCAUGAUGCCUAUUAUCUGAGGUCUUUUUUGUUGCUGUCAGAUGUUAUCAUUGGCUUGUCUCCCUGUGAUGUGUGUGUGUGUGUAUGUGUGUGUGUGUGUGUGUGUGUGUGUGUGUGUAUGGUGGGGGGGGUGACUUGCUGACAAUAGAAAUUAACAAAAUAUAUGAGCAGAGACUCAAACAGUAUUGAGUGAAUGGAUACUAAUGAGCCUCAUCACACGGCAAUGACCUGGUAUGUGGUUGUGAACAGUCAGAGCCACCACACUGCACAACACCAAGGGCUCCAUGUUCACUAGACUCAGACAUCCAAGGUUCCCUGGAAGCUAAAUGGGCCUGUGCAGGGUAUGAUAGAGAGGGAAGGCCUGAAAAGUGGUGGAGGUAGACACGUGUUACUCUUUGGCUGCCCAGAAUUCAUUUACACUAUUUCUUUUUUUUAAAAAAAAAUUAUUUAUUUAUUUGGUUGCACCGGGUCUUAGUUGCAGCAGGCUGGCUCCUUAGUUGUAGCAGGCAGGCUUCUUAGUUACAGCUUGCCAGCUCCUUAGUUGUGGCAUGCAGACUCCUUAGUCGUGACAUGCAAACUCUUAGUUGUGGCAUGCAUGUGAGAUCUAGUUCCCUGCCCAGGGAUCGAACCCAGGCCCCCUGCAUUGGGAGCGUGGAGUCUUAUCCACUGUGCCACCAGGGAAGUCCCCAUUUACUCUAUUUCUAAUAGCUUCUCACAUUAACUGGGGAUCUACUCUUCUCCUAUGCUCAAUGUAGAUAGAGCUAAUUUCACCCCCAGCUCUAAAUGUGGCCUGUGACCCAGGUCUGACCAAUCAAAGCUUCAUAUUCCCCUGACUGCAGAGAUGGAUCCUGACAAGCCACCGGGACUUCACGUUCCUUUGCUGAGACUUCUUAGAGCUUGACUUAGAGACUUGGCCUGUGUGCAAGGCUGGCCUGCUUCUCAGGCGUUUCUGAGCUUUUGGGGCCGAACUGUAAAAUCAUGUUGACUUGAGCAGAUCUAAAGCUGGGAAGGAACACUGAUACAAUGGCAGGAAUACAAGUAUGUGGUGAGUUGGAGGCAUAUAUUUCUUAAUGUUAAAUGAGCAUUGUAGAAGAGGGACCAGUGUUCAUAGCAAAAGAGUGUUAGGGAGAGGAGUUUUGGGAAUUGUAUCAUGAAACGUUCUGGAUCUGAAGUCUGUUGGAAGAUUCCAAGAUUCAAGAUGUGACAUGUCUCCCAGGUUGCAAUUAGCUCCCCCAAGCUUUCAAGAUGGCUGUUGUACAGGGCCAUGGCUGUAUUCUCAGUCCUUUAGCUAGCUGAAAGUUUUCAGGCCAAAAGAUUUCGCCAUUGCUCUUUCUUCAGCCACCUGGAGUCAUCUUCAGUCUUUAAGACAUCUUGGUUAUGUUUUUUCCCAUCUCCCAACCUUUCUCCCAGCACCAUGACUAGAUUAAGCUUUGCCUCUGACAGUGUUUUUUAAAAAUUCACAUUUCUAUUCAGUACAACACUUUGAACUCUUUGGAGAAGAGUUAUCAUAGGGAUCUAGUAAACGAGGGAACUCUUGCGGCAGUGAUUUGAUAAUUUAUUUUCAAGAAAAGUUUUAAAUCGUAGUUUGGAAACCUGUUCUGUUGAAUCCAAACAGGAUUAGUAAGCAUCAGUCAGGACUCAAGGAAUCACAUUUCUAUGGUCACAGUCAUAAGUUAUCUCCCAUUGUAUUUACUCUUCCCUGUAUUUUUUGCCUGACAUUCUGCCUGCAGCGUCUGACUAACUCUGAUGAGGGAAAACUAUCUUAUUCAGCUCUAUUCAUCAUUUUUUUUUUUCCCAGGCUGUGCUAACAAUGAAAAAAUCCCCAAACACCCUGGACGGUUAAUUCGGUAUAAUGGGCUACCAUUUACGGGGCUCGGAGUUUUAGAACUUCCCCAGGCGCAAAGGACUCAGCAAUGAUUGUGGAUUAUAACUGAGGAUUUCUAUUUAUGUCAUUCCAAGAAAGGUGUGUUUUCUUAGGCUCAAAGUCUGACCUUUCUCCUUAUUGAGUGCUUACUGUUGGCCUUUGAAAGUUACUCAUUGGCCCCUGUAUUACCUAGUUACUUUAGUGCUGUGGUAAGUUAAUUCAAGAACUACUCGAAUCACUGAACAUGGCAUGUGUUCUCAUAAACCAGAUAUUUGGGCUUGGGUGGUGAAUCAGAGAGCAGAGGCAGGCACUGAAGGGUGUCUUCAGAGAUGAGACAGGAACCCAUUUCUGUGUGAAUCGGUAUCUGGGAGCAUUCCUCUGGAAAGUCAGCCUGGGACAGCAUAGGAGAAGUAACCUGCUCCCGGUUCUAUUUUCUUCAUUUCUACAGAGAGAUCUGUAGGUACUGGGCCUGCCUUUGGCCAGAAGAAAGUCUCUGGAUUAUUAGAAGAGAUUAGGUUACAAAAAGACUAUGGCGUGCCAAAACUUGGAAGCAACGAAGGUGUCCUUCAGCAGAUGGAAUGGUAAAUAAACUGUGGUACAUCCAGACAAUGGAAUAUUAUUUAGUGCUAAAAAGAAGUGAGCUAUCAAGCCAUGAAAAGACAUGGAGGAAACUUAAGUGCAUGCUCUAAGUGAGAGAAACCAAUCUGAAAAGACUCCCCACUGUAUAAUUCCUACUAUAUGACAUUCUGGAAAAGACAAAAAAAAAAAAAAAAUGAAGACAGUAAAAAGAUCCGUGGUUGCCAGGGGUUAGGGAGAGAGAGGGAUGAACAGGCAGAGCACAGAGGAUUUUUUAAGGCAGUGACAGUAUUCUGUAUGGUACAAUAAUGGAGGAUACAUGUCAUUAUACAUUUGUCAAAACCAAUAAAAUGUACAAUACCUAAAUGUGGACUUCGGGUGAUAAUGUUGUGUCAAUAUAGGCUCAUCAGUUGUAACAAAUUUACCACUCUGGCGGGGGAUGUCCACGGUGUGCAUGUGCGUGGUUGUACAUGUGUCGGGGAAGGGGUUAUAUAAGAACCCUCUGUACUUUUUGCCCAAUUUUGCUGUGAACCUAAAACUGCUCUAAAAAAUGAAGUCUAUUAAAAAAAAAAAGAGGCUAUGGCUUCUGUCUACGUGCCUUCUCUUGCUCUCUCAUUUGCUCGCUCUGAGGGAGGACAACUGCCAAGUUGUGAGGAGCUUUAUGGAGAGGCCCACGUGGCAAGGAACUCAUGUCUCCAGCCAAUAGCCAGCAAAGACCGGAGGCCUGCCCGUGGCCAAAGGAGUGGGUUCAGAGUGGAACCUCCCCCAAAUGGGCCUUGAGAUGACUGCAGCCAGUCAACACCUUGAUUACAGCCUUGUGAGACACAUUUUGAGAAACUCUGAGUUGGAGGUACCCCCUUAAACCAGGCCCAGAUUUAUGACUCAUAGAAGCUGAAAUAAUAAAUAAAUGUUUGUGAUUUUAAA